GUCGACGCGCGCGGCGGGGCGGGAGCGGCCCUGGACUCCCGGGAGCGGCCCCGGGGCCCCCCAGCGCCCCCCGGCACCCCAAAAUCCCCCCGGGCACCGGUCCAGACUGCCCAAAUCUUCUGGUGAUCAUCCCAAAAAUCCCAUUUUUUGGCUAAUUCCUGCCUGGAAUAACACCUGGAUUCAUUGGUGCUCCCAGAGCCUUUCUGGGGUCCUCCGCUCCCGUCCCGUCCCACCGGGGUC
rnacentral:lncRNA from 1 species